GACGAGCCUCACAAACGUUUAUUCGGAAUUACUGGGCUUAAAGGGUGCGUAGGCGGCGCGGAAAGUUGGGUGUGAAAUCCCUCGGCUCAACCGAGGAACUGCGCCCAAAACUACCGUGCUCGAGGAAGAUAGAGGUGAGCGGAACUUACGGUGGAGCGGAUGAAAUGCGUUGAUAUCGUAAGGAACACCCGUGGCGAAAGCGGCUCACUGGGUCUUCUCUGACGCUGAUGCACGAAAGCUAGGGGAGCAAACGGG
rnacentral:rRNA from 1 species